CCCUCUCGGCCUCUCCCCAUCUCCUUGCCGAGCCCCACAGCCCCCUCGCUCCGUGGAUCUUCUUCCUCCUCGCGCGAGCGCCGUCACUCAUCCCGCUGCCGAGCGCCCGAUCCCCCUUCGUCUUCCUCCUCGCUCGAGCGCCUCCACUGCAGUAAUUUGAGAGAGCGGAGCCAAGAUUUGAGCGGAGAUGAAUGCACCGGACCGCUACGAGCGCUUUGUCGUGCCUGAGGGCACAAAGAAGGUGUCAUUUGAGAAGGAUACGAAGAUUAUGAAUGCUGCAUCAUUCACUAUUGAACGCGAGGACCACACCAUCGGCAACAUCCUUCGCAUGCAGCUGCACAGGGACCCAAAUGUGCUCUUUGCUGGCUAUAAGCUUCCUCACCCCCUUCAGUACAAGAUCAUUGUUAGGAUCCAUACUGCAAGCCAGUCCUCCCCAACGCAGGCGUAUACACAGGGGAUCGAUGAUCUGGACAAGGAGCUUGAGAUCCUAAAACAAGCUUUUGAGGAUGAGAAGAACCGCUUCGAGGAAAGGAUGAAGCAGGGUUACUAGGGCAGUGGGUGUUUGCAGGUGCCUAUCAGCAUCCGCAGUCCGAGUCUCUACAUGAAUUUGACGGUGACAGGUCUUUUACGACGACGACUAGGAUCGUCGGACCUGCAGAAUGCAGAUGCCUGUUAGGCGACAGGGCAGGAAACGUUUGAACUUUGAAGCCGUCAGAUGCAUCUCCUCGACGUUCGAUCCAACCUCUCGGGUUUCCAGUUCAGACUGUCUUCAAUUGCACAUGCUACUAGAUGUUCUCCCAGCUGCCAAAAAAAAUGUUCUCCGGGUGUCGCCGAAGCACGACUUAAUCCUAUGUCAGGAGAAUGCUCCGGAUGAGCGCAGACGUUUGCAAUUCCUCCAAAAGUUGGUGUGCGGCGGAGCUCAAGAACGACCGCAUGUACAAUUUGCGAGAUCCCCAAAUCCGAACAUGAACAAAUUGUCAUUUGCAAGAUCCCCAAAUCUGAAGAUGACCAAAUCGAGCAUAUUUACCUCGUAGGCGCUCGAAAAACCAACGAAGGAAGCGGUGUGGCACGGCCGAAUCAGAGCUGCUGGCUCGGCAGUUCUCCGGGCGGAAGGGGUCUGAAUAACCAAGGGAUCCCCUCCUUGGGAUGCGGGCUAGCCACGGGGAAUGGUGGAAUACCAGACCGGCAACACGGAGACGAUGGCGGUGACGAAAAAUUGGAGGCGACAAGCGGCGGAAGCUCAUGUAAAAUGCGCGGGCUAAAAGGAAAACGAACACAGAAUCCCAAUAAAUAGCAACAGGGGAUCCGAAUUUUUUUAGGGAUUUCAUGGAUAUGCUGGAUAUGUACAGGACAUUUUUUUCCGACCAAACCGUAAAAUAUCGGUUAUUUUAAGAAUCGGUCCGAUAUACGGGAUCUAGAGA